rnacentral:rRNA from 1 species
AUACAGAGGGUGCGAGCGUUAAUCGGAAUUACUGGGCGUAAAGCGCGCGUAGGCGGCUUAUUAAGUCAGAUGUGAAAUCCCCGGGCUCAACCUGGGAACUGCAUCUGAUACUGGUAAGCUAGAGUUUUGGAGAGGGAAGUGGAAUUUCAGGUGUAGCGGUGAAAUGCAUAGAGAUCUGAAGGAAUACCAGUGGCGAAGGCGACUUCCUGGCCAAAAACUGACGCUGAGGUGCGAAAGCGUGGGUAGCAAACAGGAUUAGAAACCCUAGUAGUCC